rnacentral:rRNA from 1 species
UACAGAGGGUGCAAGCGUUAAUCGGAAUUACUGGGCGUAAAGCGUGCGUAGACGGUUGCGUAAGUCAGAUGUGAAAGCCCCGGGCUCAACCUGGGAAUUGCAUUUGAGACUGCGUAGCUAGGGUGCGGAAGAGGGAAGCGGAAUUUCCGGUGUAGCGGUGAAAUGCGUAGAUAUCGGAAGGAACACCAGUGGCGAAAGCGGCUUCCUGGUCCAGCACCGACGUUCAGGCACGAAAGCGUGGGGAGC